AAGACUAUACUUUCAGAGAUCAUUUCUAUAGUUCAUUUCUAGUAUGACUACAACUAGUCAUAGGCAAGCAUCAGAACUUGCAGAUGGAGCAGG
ensembl:snoRNA U3 Small nucleolar RNA U3